rnacentral:rRNA from 1 species
AACGAACGCUGGCGGCAGGCUUAACACAUGCAAGUCGAACGCCCCGCAAGGGGAGUGGCAGACGGGUGAGUAACGCGUGGGAACAUACCCUUUUCUACGGAAUAGCUCUGGGAAACUGGAAUUAAUACCGUAUACGCCCUACGGGGGAAAGAUUUAUCGGGGAAGGAUUGGCCCGCGUUGGAUUAGCUAGUUGGUGGGGUAAAGGCCUACCAAGGCGACGAUCCAUAGCUGGUCUGAGAGGAUGAUCAGCCGCAUUGGGACUGAGACACGGCCCAAACUCCUACGGGAGGCAGCAGUGGGGAAUAUUGGACAAUGGGCGCAAGCCUGAUCCAGCCAUGCCGCGUGAGUGAUGAAGGCCUUAGGGUUGUAAAGCUCUUUCACCGAUGAAGAUAAUGACGGUAGUCGGAGAAGAAGCCCCGGCUAACUUCGUGCCAGCCGCCGCGGUAAGAC